GGAGGAGGAAACCAAGAUGGAGCCGAGGGCUGAGUCAGGAACAUUCCAGUCCUAGUGUCUUGGAAAGGGGUCUGAGGAGUUCCCCAAAGAUCACCAACUCACCCUCAGAACUGAGGAUCCAACCUCAGGACCUUGGGCUUGCCAGAAUGGAGCAACUGAGAGUCAACUUGACAGGCCCCA